CCACCCCUCCUCACUUGCUCUCACUUUUCCACUCCCCACUCUUUCCUCCACUCCCACACACUCUCCUCCUAUCUCUCCCCACGAAAUUGCUGCUCCUCCUAGCUUCAUGGCCGGCCAUGGCCAUGAAAAGCUCUCCAUGAUGAAGCUCUCCCCCUCCCUCAAGCUCCUCCUCUCCAUGAGAGCAUCCCUCUCCUUUUUCUCCCCAACCCUAGAUGGUUUUCUCUCCUCUUCUUCUUCCUCCCUUGCUAAGUUUGGAUCUUGAUGCAGGUGCAUGUUGGUCCAAGCAUGGAGAAGCUUCACCUAUCCUCAGAUCUGAAGUUCUUGACCAAAAUCCAAAUCGAGUGAUUCAAAGUUCCACAGAUAGGUAUUGAAAAGAUCUACAACUUGGCGUUGGUCUCAUCCUCAAAUUCGUUACGGAUUUUGCGUGGUGAAUAAAGUUCUACAAACAUGCAGAAUCACUGUUUGUUAGAUUUCUUCCGUUUUACAAAACCUUUUUGAGCAAACUCAACUAUCAAGAUCUGGUCAGAUCUGACUUUGUCGAAUUAAACCAGGAGGCUGGAGACGAAUUUUUGAAUGAAACCAAUUGGGGGAUACUUAGUUGUGCCAUGGUGAUACCGAGAGAGGCAAUUGCUAAGUUAUGAUACUCUCAUACCUUUACUAGAUGCGAACGAUUCCGGAGAAGAAGAAGAAGUGGUUCGGACAAGGAUUUUAUUUAUAUUGACGGGAUUCUUAUAUUGAUGAAGUUGAAGAAGUCCAGGGACAAAUAAGCCAAG